rnacentral:rRNA from 1 species
ACACGUAGGGGGCGAGCGUUGUUCGGAAUCAUUGGGCGUAAAGGGCGUGCAGGCGGUCCUGCAAGUCCGGCGUGAAAGACCCCGGCCCAACCGGGGGGACGCGCUGGAAACUGCAGAGCUUGAGUACAGGAGGGGAUGCCGGAAUUCCAGGUGUAGGGGUGAAAUCUGUAGAUAUCUGGAAGAACACCAAUGGCGAAGGCAGGCAUCUGGCCAUGUACUGACGCUGAGACGCGAAGGUGCGGGGAGCAAACAGGUUUAGAUACCCUGGUAGUCCGCACAGUAAACGAUGUGCACCAGGUGGCGGGGGGUCGACCCCCGGUACCGUAGCUAACGCAUUAAGUGCACCGCCUGGGGAGUAUGCUCGCAAGGGUGAAACUCAAAUGAAUUGGCGGGG